rnacentral:rRNA from 1 species
CAGGCCUAACACAUCCAAGUCGAACGCAGACACGGGAGCUUGCGGCUGGUGGCGAGUGACGGACGGGUGAGUAAAAAUAGGAAUGUACCCAGUAGUGGGGGACAACUACCGGAAACGGUAGCUAUACCGCAUACGCCCUAUGGGGGAAAGCGGAGGAUCUUCGGACUUCGCGUAUUGGAUGAGCCUAUUUCUGAUUAGCUUGUUGGUGGGGUAAAGGCCUACAAGGCGACGAUCAGUAGCUGGUCUGAGAGGACGAUCAGCCACACUGGGCUGAGACACGGCCCAGACUCCUACGGGAGGCAGCAGUGGGGAAUAUUGGCAAUGGGCGAAAGCCUGAUCCAGCAAUGCCGCGUGUGUGAAGAAGGCCUCGGGUUGUAAAGCACUUUCAGUAGUGAGGAAAAGCUUAAGGUUAAUACCUUGAGUCUUGACGUUAACUACAGAAGAAGCACCGUCUAACUCCGUGCCACAGCCGCGGUAAU